AUCCAGCUGACGAGUCCUAAAUAGUAUGAAAUGCGCAUCCUGGAU
rnacentral:hammerhead_ribozyme from 1 species